CCCACAGCCAUGCUCUGUGCAGGUUCCGGGCCUUUCCCCAGUCCGAGUGGUGAGCUCUGGAAAUGCCCCAUGAAGAGUCUGCGUUGGGCACAGAACACCACUUGGCUAUCGGCAUCACCAUUUUUUUCUCUGGUUAACUCCCUGGAGAGCCGCCCACAGCCAGUGAAGCUGCGCUCAUUCCCUCUCCGGGCCAACUUGAUUGGACGGUCAAAACAAAACAGAGCCCAAAACCAGUAAGCAGUUAAGCCUGGAGAGAUGAUGCAAGAUUCCAGAGGGGCCACAAGCUGGAUACCAGCCCCCAAACCGGCAGUGUCUGUGUCACCAAGGACGGGACACAGUGGAUUACCGCAGGGCAUGCUCAACUUCUGAGCCCACUCGCUGCGGAGCCUGCCAUCGGCGAUAAUUUCAGCACAGUGAGUCAACCUCCAGGGACCGUGCCGGCCAGGUCCCCCUCUGUCGGCACCUGGGCACGUGUGCGAGCUCAGCCGCCCCUCCCUGGGCUGCCUGCCUGGGAACAGCUGCUGUGUCCUGACCCAGCCGGCAGCUGUGACCUUGUGGGUCCCAGAGAGCCCUGCGAUCUCAGUGGCCUGGCCACUCAGGCUUAGGGCCACUGUCAGUCAUGGAGGGUCUCACCCAGGACCCUCACCCGGAGAGGGAAAUCUCUUUGUCCAGGAAGCAGCUGCUGGAAACGUCUGAGCCCCAGAGAGACUGAGCUGUGACCUGGACCCCUACUUUGUGAGGGCACCUAGUUUGUUUCAUAGGAGUGUGUGCUCCUGGGGGCUGAACACGGAGCCCCCGGGGUGGCCUGGGGCCCUCACUGAGCAUCCUCAUACUGGGCCUCGUCGGGGGCUCACUUCCUCCCUUGUGCCCACCUGCCUGACCCGACCACACUGAAAGGCGGUCUGCUGCUGUGACCACAGGGGUGACCAGGGGUGGAAUGGCUGGGCCAAGGGCGGCCAGGCUGCCCCAAACCUGGACAUCCGCCUGCCAGGCAAUGGUUGCCUGAUAUCUUCAGAUGCGAAUGUGUGGUUUGGCUCCGGAGGCUGGAGAGUGGGGUGGGCGCCUGGCUCCUGCUGACCUCUGGGGUUGGUGGGCAAAUUAGUAAGAGGAUUCACACAGACAGCUGUCCCAGGACCCAGGGACCUGGAGGAAGAAGGCGCCUCUGAGCAGCAGGUGAGGAUGGCCGGGGCCCUGUGUGUGGCAGUGCCACACGUGUCGGCCACGUUCCUGCCUCUUCACCUGGCUGUGGCUACUGACUGGCUGCCCCAGGGCCAGAGGCUUAAAAGCAGACGACUCCUGGGCACCACAGGAUGGCUGUGGGGCCGUUUCCAGGAGCUGUGGCUGUCCAGUGGACAGGUCAUAUUCUGGCCGGGGUCCAUAGCCCAGAUAACCAGCCACGUCUCCCCAGAGGUGCAGAAUGUCCCGCCCUACAGUCCAUCCCGCAACAGCCUGGGACCUCAGUGACUGAGCCAGCCCCUGCUGAUACACCCUCACCGUCUGACCCGGCCUCUCCUCGGCCCUGCACCUGUGUGCAGAAGACCCAGAAGAUUCCGGGGCCCCAUGGCACACGCAGGCUGGGGAUGAGGCCACAGAGACCCCAGGAGGGAGUUGAGGGCUGGGAGGAGGCCUUACUCUGAGGUCCCUGCCUCCCACAGCUGGGUUCUGUGCUGAGGUCCCGGCCCUGAGAGGCGAGGCGGGUGCAGCGCCCGGCUCUGUGAGGAGGAGGGCACCAGGACCCCAUACCUGUGCCAACAGGGGCAGGUGUCCUGGAUUAUGGGGGAGAGGGGGCUGGCCAGCACAGCAACCAGACCUCUGGCACUGGCAAGGUCAGCACCAAGCCCGGCCCGCCGCGGCCGCCAGAAAUCCUCCUUUCCAACUCCGCUCGCGGGGUGGCAGCUGCCAGUGCUAUUUGGGGACUAAGCUGUGCCCACUUUCUGGCCCUUUGAGUCCUUGUCUGGUGCGAAUUACGCGCUAAUCUGCAUGCUUAGCUGUCCCUGAGAGCUCUACUCCUGGGCCCGCUCGGUCGCCCAGGAGACCCCUCACACCCACAAGGCCUGGCCCCCCCCCCCCCCCCCGCCAGGGAAGAAAGGGUGUUGGCUCUGGAUCCACAGGUCAUGCACAUGUGGGGGAAAGAGUGUGACGAGCACACAGCUUUACCCCAACUGAGUGGGGGCGGCUGUCAGAAAAUCACACUAAGCGGGACAUGCCCUCUGUGACAGCUUCCCUCAGUCCCCUCAGGAGUGUGGGAUGGAGAGAUGGAG
ensembl:lncRNA